rnacentral:rRNA from 1 species
GACGAACGCUGGCGGCGUGCCUAAUACAUGCAAGUCGAGCGCUGAAGGAGGAGCUUGCUUCUCUGGAUGAGUUGCGAACGGGUGAGUAACGCGUAGGUAACCUGCCUGGUAGCGGGGGAUAACUAUUGGAAACGAUAGCUAAUACCGCAUAAUAUUGACUAUUGCAUGAUAGUCAGUUGAAAGGUGCAACUGCACCACUACCAGAUGGACCUGCGUUGUAUUAGCUAGUUGGUGGGGUAACGGCUCACCAAGGCGACGAUACAUAGCCGGCCUGAGAGGGUGAUCGGCCACACUGGGACUGAGACACGGCCCCGACUCCUACGGGGGGCAGCAGUAGGGAAUCUUCGGCGAUGGACGGAAGUCCGACCGAGCAAAGCCGCGUGAGGGAAGAAGGGUUUCGGAUCGUAAAGCUCUGUUUUAAGAGAAGAAAGAGUGUGAGAGUGGAAAGCUCACACUGUGACGGUAUCUUACCAGAAAGGGACGGCUAACUACGUG